GUUUUAAUAAUUUAAUAAAAAUAUUAAUUUUGUAAAUUAAAAUUAGGAACAAGCCUUUAAAACU
rnacentral:tRNA from 1 species